rnacentral:lncRNA from 1 species
UUGUGUUUAAAGUGGAAAUUUCCUUGCUACCUAUCUUCUUUGACCCUCCUAACAUCUCUUUAAUCCUUCUUCUCUUCUCCAAUUUCCUUCGAGAUUUCUUUCUUUACAUUCAUCCUUCUACCUUUACAUUAGAUUAUUAUGAUCCUUGCUUGUCAGCUCACAUAUAUCCUUGUUGAGUUUUUCAUGCUAGAUUGAGCAUCUCAACAAAUAUGUUAUAUCAAUCUCCCCCACCAAAAUACUUGCCAGACAUGCAUUUAAACAAAUCAUAGCAAUAAAACUUGCUACUUUAACUUUAAGAGAACAUUAACUAAAUAUUAUAGAAAUCAAAGGAUAGGAUGAAAGAGGAAAACAUAAAAAAGAACUGAGGAUAGGAUGAAACAGUCUCCGAAAGAUAAGGAGCAGAUGGAAACUUUAACAAAAAAUUUCAAUAUCAAAGUUUUCCAUUUUAAACUGAUCUUUUUAGGAUGUUUUAGGAUAUUCUAUAACUAUGUUGUUGACAAACCAGGCUUUUCAUAAAAAAAUCCAUGAUUGCCUUGCCAGACUCCUAUUUUCAUUACAAUUGCUCAAAUUAAUUCGGACAAUAUCUGAGGAUGUCAAUAGACAGUUCCAGAUCCCAGCCUGACUUGGUUCAAACUUGGUACACAAUAGAAUUUGUCUGGUUCAGUCAGGUCAGGUUGCUCCUAUAAUCUAGGCCAUACAGGUUGACUCGGCAAAUAUAGGUGAUAGACUAGCCUCUAGCCAAGGUGGUCUCCUAGGCAUCUAGGUGAUCACCAAGGAACAAACUUAGUACAAACUCACUAAAUUAUGCUUUGAUUCAAGUUCUUCAUUUUCACAAUUAGAUUUCUGAACUGUUUCAAUAAGUUUAAAUUUUAACAUACCUCAGGGUAUUCAUUGUGAACACAAACAAAUAAGUCUCUUUCAAGAUAUAUUACAAUUUGUUAAACUUUUUCUAAAUUUAUAAUAUAUGUAAUAGAAGCAAUAACAAAUAUUAUGGAUCUUUCAGAUCAAUUGGUGGAAUAUGUCCAGCUUACUUAGUCAUUUAUCUUGGUAGAGAUUGGAGCUAAGGUUUCUAUUUUUGAAUAAAAGAUCUCUUUGUGGUUACUUGUUCAAUACUUAAAUUCACAUUAUUUCUUUUUAAUUGUAAUUUUUUAUUGAGGUUUAGUCUAAAGUCUCUCACUCUCUUAUUUGCAUAUGUGUCAUAUAAGAAAAGAUUGCAAGAAAUUACUUCGUACUGUAUAUAUGUAUGUGUAUACAUUUACGUACAUACAUGUAUGAAUAAUAGUCAUACACACACAAUAUAUGUAUAUAAGUUUGCAUAUUUGUUUUUUUUACCUAUAUUUAUAUAUACAAAUUAAUGUUACAUUUGUAUAUAUGCAUUCAUUUGUAGUACACAUACAUUCAUAUAUGUAUAUAUUAUAUUGAUAUAGUCACAUUUAUAUGUAUGUAUAUAUGAAUCUUUGUGUAUAUAUAUGGAUAUAUUAAUGAUAGUCAAGGCAAGGCUUGCCUAGGCAAUCACAGGCCCUAUACAUCGCCCAAGCUAGGCGACGCCCAUAACAACUAUGUCAUGGACUAACCUGUUUAGACCAUUAUGCCAUAUCUACACCCACACAUGCAUAUGAAUGUCCAUGUGCAUGUGCAUGCAUGUCUUCAUGACUUUGUAAAUUAGUCUAUCAUGCUUGACAAUUUAGCUUCUAUUGCAGAUUUCGAAUAAUUAGUAUCAAAGCAGACAUCCAGAACCAGCAUUAACUAUGAAAAACAUUUAAAGCUGGCCUUGCAUUAUGCCUCUUAAACAAAUGCUAUCCUCGCUACCACUCCUAUUAAAAAAAGGACAUGCAUGCAUGUGUUUAACUUUUAAAAUUAAAAAUUUGUACCAUAUAAUUCUCAAAAAGUGGUCAAAGUUGGUUGAAAGAUUUCUACGGAACAGUGAAUUCAUGGAGUUAGGAAAGUUUCAUACGACUAGUUAUUUUUUCUAAACCCUUAGAAACAUCUAGAGUUUUAUAAUUCCUAUGUCAGAAAAGUAUUAGCUCUAUCCAUUCCUCCACCGCAACUUAAUUAUACACCUCUCCCUUCCUAUGAACUUUACACUUUAUGAAAAGCAUUCUUCUUUUGCUAGGCUAUUUUCACAAAAUAUUGCUAAUUCUAAAUCUUGUCUAUAAUGCAAAGAAAAAAAUCUUCUGUUGUUGCUAAAAUAGCAAGAGAUUUUUUCCCCUUCAACCUUCAUUUGCAAAAAGUUUUUUGUGAAAUGGCAACAGAACAGUUUUUUUUCUUUAACCUUCAAGGAAAUGUAGUGAAGAAAUUUUGUAUAACAUGUAAGUUAGCAAUCAAAUAUCUAAAUCCAACAUGUAGAACAGGAAAGAAAAAAAAGAGAAUGAAAACAUGACACACGAAUGGUGUGGUUUCAUGCUGUAAAUAUUAUAAAUGUGGUCUACACAUCACAAACACUAGAUAAAAGAACUUGCCUGAUUACAUGGAUUAGUCAAUAUCACUCAGGUCAUAGUCUCAUACCCAAAAAAAAAAAAAGUUACUAUUUUUGUUCAAAUAUGUCAUCAAUUGAUACCUAUCAAGACCCAAGACUGAGUAGUGAUGUGACAUCAAAUAGCUUCCACUUUCCCUAGGAGUGAAUCUGAAAUUUGUUCUUCUAUCUUUGUAAGAUGUAUCUGUCUUCCAGUACCAGUCAUCCCUUUGGAAAUGCUGAUAUGCUCCAGGACCAGGAUCACUCCAUGUCUCAUAGCUCUUCUUAUACUUGCUUCUUUCUUUGUUAAAUACACUUUGCACCCGCCUUAUGCGUUCCUAGGAAAGGCAAUAGUUUCGUUGCUAUUUCAGUAGAAACUCAAAAUACUUAUAAAAAAUUUGGAGAAGAAAACAUAUUUUGUCGAGAAGAGGUCAUUACGAAGUAUGUUGCUAGAAUAGCUCCCUAGAUUUGCAUAAAAGUAGUGGAGAUGAUGAAAAUAGUAAAUCACAAUUAGUCAGGGUUGAAAAAACUAGCAAAUAUAAGAUCCAAAAUGUAAUCACACAUAUUAACAUAGGCAAAUGCAAUUAAGAAUAAGCAAAUUAAUAUCUCUUGAACAAAUGACUAUAAACUAUACAUCCGCAAUAAUUCCAAUGUUAUAGACCAAAAUACUCUACAGUCAUGUAAUUGAAGUUGGAAAAAGUCAUGGAUUCAAAAACCACCGACUGAGACUGUACUAUCAGUUUUGUUCUAUUUCGGUGCAAAAACAUCACCUGCAUGAGUGUUAGGUCAACAAAACAGGUAAAAUUGAGAUGUAUUUGCUGUCCUGAUCGGCACUGAUUGGUACCAAGGCCGGCAUAGCUAAUACAAAGCCUAUUCUAGUCAGGACGACAAAUUUUUUAUUUUUUUAAAGAAUAGGAAUGGAACGAACCAGCCACCCUGAUGGGUUCCGACUAGUACGAGCCAGUACCAAGGCCAGUUCAGUUGGCACCAAACUCGUCCUUGUUGGGACAGCAAAAUUUCUUUAAGAAAUGGUAGAGGGCCAGGUUGGCUGACCCAAAGUGAAGUAUGAAAAAGACAAGUUGGUUGCACAUUAAACCUGAUACAAAAUCAUACAACAAAUAGAAUUAUCCAACUCAAUAAUGAAAGAUAACAUGCUAAAAUUAUUCAACCAAGAAAAUAUGGAAAUCUGGUGAUAGGGACUAGUGAAUAACACUUGUUCCUUGUGCUAAAGGCAAUUCAUUCUGAUAUUUGAUAGUGCUCCAAGACAACAAUGCCAAUUAGAACAAUACAGUAGGUGAUCAGAUGAACUUCAAUUGAAUCUAUAUUCACAUUGCACCACAAAAAUAAAGAUUAACUUAAUAUCCAUUUACAUAUCAAAACCCCAAAAAAGGAAAAACCAACAAGAAAAGAUAAAAAUUUCAAAUUUGCAUACUGGUACGGUGCUAAUACAUACAUCCCAAGAGUCGAUACAGCAUAGGUUAGUACCGCACCAUUCCUGAAAAAAACUAAUACCAUCAUCGGUAUUGGUAUUUCGAUCCUUGGGAAAAGUUAUGCCUUGCCUUGCUAGGCAAAUAGCUUCAGAUAUUGGAGGACCCAGUAGGAACAAGAUAGGUUCUUCAGAGCUAGGAGGUCAAGGUAAGAUUUUGUAAUAGGAGGAAAGGGUAGAGGGCUCACCUAGGUACAACAAUGUCUCCUAUCUUAAAUGGAAAUUGUUAGUUGCAGAUGUAACAUUUAAGUUUAAGAAAAAGACUGCCACUCAUGAAGUUGCAGCUCUAGGAAUAGCAACCAACUCCUCUCCUAAACUUCUUCCUCUAAUUUUCCCCAGGACAUGCUUCAUGAUUAUUGAUAUGCAUCAAGAGGGUCAAAGGACAAAGGGGUUUAAUAACCGUAUACAAGAACAAAUCCUAGUGAUGAGAAGAAAGGGUUGUUGCCCUUGAUCUAGCUAAUAUAAGGCUACAACUUGCUUCUUGAGAUUAAUGACAAAAGGUUCUAUAAGAAUACAAUGACAAAAGAGAGGAAGGGCAUUAACAAAAUCCAUCUUAUGGAGAUAUGUCAAUAACACUAUUGACUAAUUGCCUUUUUUUUCAAGUUUCAGGUUAAAUUUGUACUAAAAUAAUGAAAGACAACCUCAAAUGAUAAGAGCCUUUAUUUUUCUUAUUAAAAGAAAGAACAAAGUAACAUAGUCUGAAUGCAACCUCAAUGAAAAUAGGAAUGGGAGUGAGCUCUACGUAUAGCCAAGAGAUCCCACAAUGUCAGCAGUUUCAUUGUCUUAGAUCUAUCAUAUUUAAAAGUGAAAUACUUAAUCAAGACACAUCUAGUAGAACUAGACUACUAGAGAAUGGUGAAUUGAGAGAAUUUUAUUGACAAAACAAAUGAUGUCAGUCAGAAAAGUCUGUGAUAGGCUAAGAUCAGAAACUUCAGUUAUCAGGUGUAAAAAUGAAUCAUUUACAUAAGUUUACAUGGGAUCAAAUUCAUGAUCCAAAGGAGCCAUCUAGAUUGUACACAACUUUCAAAGGCCCAGAUUGAAAUAAAACAACCAAUCAAAAGACGGAGAGGAACAAAAAAGAGAAAAGAGAAAAACAGAAAAUUCAUCGAUUUUCGAAAAACAAAUACUUCUACAUUGCUUUUCCCACUUCUAUAAACCAUAAAGUCUCAAAACUAAAUACUCACACCACACUCUCGCCACCAAUACGGAUUUUGACUAAAAGCAGAGAUAAGAAGAAGAAAGGAAGAAAAUGGUUCGGCCAAAUGGAGCAAUCAGUCAUCCUUUAUUUUCUUUCUUUUCCCUUUCUUUUUUCCCCUAUUAUUUUUUACUCCUCCUUUGUUUCUCCAGUCAUUUUCCUUUUCUCCUCCUUUCCGAACUUACUGUGUGUGUAAGGUGAGGUUGGAGACUGCAGCUCCCUCUAAAUUUGUAGACCCACAUAAUCAGUUGAAUGUAUAUUGGUUGAUUUGGAUAAAUUUUUGUUGCACAACUCAAAACCUGCAGUAACUCAGUUCAUAGGCGAUCUCUAAUCUCAAAAAUUGGUCCCAAGACAUAAAAAAUUAAAACAAGCCCUAAAAGAUCCUGGAAAUGGUGAUAUAAAAUUUAAUUUAAAAAAUAGACAUAAGAAAACUUGAACUUUGAAAGUUAAAUAUCUAAUGGUAAGCAGCUAAAUAAACCAAAGGGCGUAUUGUGAGACCCACAAUGUCACCUGCUUCAGAAUGUUGAGCGAUAUUGAAGGUCCAAGGAAACAAAAGAUGGAUGCAAUGGACAUGUAAGUAUUAUGAUGGAUGUGGUAAAACAAGAAAAUGUAAAGUAUACAUUAGAAUUGGCAAGAAAAAGACAAAUUGAGGAAAAAGAGAUGGGGAUUUCAGAGACAGUAUGGACACACACCAUAACGAUUUGAGGAGGCCCUGAUAUGAAGGUGCUUGACUCUUUGCUGAAAGUCUAUAUAGAAGAGAGGUCAUGUAGCAUCAUAAAACAUUAAAGGCUACAUGAUCAAAUAACAAAGGAUCCAAUUCGGAGCUGAUUAUAUCUGAAUUACUAUGCAAAAGAGAAGAAUAUAAUAGAUCAAGACAAAGAAUAAGAAAAAGAGUAGAAGGAAUAGGGGGAAGGAAGAGGAGCAGGGUAAAAGCCAGCAGCCAACUCUCACUCCAAGUAAAUUUCCAUAACUCUAAAACUGUAUGACAUAGACUCAAUAUCCCUAUUAUAACAACAGCAAAAUCCUAAUACAACCCUAAAUCCCUAGACUACCCCUCAAAGCAUUAAGUUACUGUUAAUGAGUACUGUAGCGUGAGUAUUACCAUGAACAGUACCACUACAGUAACAUGAUUUAUUCAAAUAGAACUCAGCUAUAUCUUAACACAAAUCCAACAAGGAUUAAAAAUAAACAGAAAUAACAGCAAAAAUAAUUAAAAGCUAAAUAGAUCUGUUCUCGAUUUUGAUAAUCUGCAACCCUUAGGUGCAUCAAAGGGAAAGCCAAUGCAGAUAUGGAUAGAAGCCGUGACAAACUACUAGACAACAAACUACUAGACAAAGGUUGCAGUUCAACAUUGGAAGUAACACUUGAUAGUAAAGACUAGGGAAUGAAAAUUCAGAAAGCCAACUUCAACAUGUUCGGUUAAUACUUGAUGAUUAAGGUCACAAUCUCAUUGCCUAUUUGCUCUUACAUGGCUCUUUUUUUAGGGAAAUAUAGGUAUUACUCUAAUACAUUAUCAACACUCCCUGUUCACCCAGCUACCUUGUUUCUGUGCUUAAGAUGUAAGAGUGGGCUACUGGAUAAUUUUAAUUACAAGACCAAGUGGGAUUUGCUAAACCAUGCAACUUAAUGGAAGAUCUUGAAUUAGUAAACUAGAGGGAUUUUCUAAAAUAUAGGCCCUUAUUGCCAAUACAUUUGGGUAAGGUUUAUUUUAAAGCUCCAACUAUUAUCAUGCCACCUAAAUAUGCAGGAGUGCUCUUAGCCUUGGAAUUUUAGCAGUAUGAACUAGGAGUUAACUUCAUCAAAACAAGUAAUUUUCCACCAAUAAUUAAAAAAACACCAACACAAAAUUAAAUUUUGACAUGUUGAAGAGGAAAUUAAUCACAAAAAAGAUGCCACAGCACAAUGGUAAUGCAUUGAACAAGAAAGCAGAAAAUAAACUGACCACUCUCUCCAUCUCCUCCUCAUACUCCUCUUGCAUUCGACGGUUGUAUCUAUUCCAAGCUUCUUCCCUAUAACUUCCACGAUUUGAACUGCCGGUUGCAUUCCUCCAUGAUGAAGAUUGCUGUGACCUGUUAACCUUUAAAAGCAUCAAAAUGACCAAAGAAACUAGUCAACGAGCAUGUCUGACAAAAAAGCACCAUCUACUAGUGAAGAGCGGGAUUCCAUUUGGAUGUCCCAAUGCUAUCAUAACGAAAACAAAGAGUCAUGUUCUUAUUUAAAAGGAAAGAAAAAAAGAGUUAGAAGGAGGCUUCUGGAAACAUAUGACAAUCAUACAAACAGAGAGAUUUCAGACUUAUGAUUAAAGAUUUCAGACUUAUCAAUAGUUCUCGAUGACCAUGAAGUACUCGAGAAGAGAAAUUGAUUCGCUGACAUUUAAACAACUAAGUAUCAGUAAAGAAGAGGUUCUAUUACCCUGCCCAGUUCUUUGAGCUUUUCAUAUUGUUUUUUUUGCUUUUCUAAAUCAUAACUAUAUAUCAUCUGCAUGGCCACUAUUAGACAUCUUAUUGUUAGAUAUUCUUCUGCUAGGAAUUUCAAGCCUUACCAAUCAACUACAUGUUAGACUAACAAAUAUUGAAGUUUAAUCUAGGCAUGUUCCUAAGAAAAAUCUGUGCAUUUUCAGUUGAUUACAACAAAAAAAAAAAAACUCUCUUCCAAAGAAUACCAACAAAAUAAAAAAAAACAUAAAACCAAAAGAUAUAGAAGAUAUGCUGGUUUGGAUAGUGAUAUAAUUUACACAUGUCAUUUCGUUCAUUUUCAGAGACUUGUCUGUAUCCCAAGUCAAAACAACAUUUUAAGCUAAAUGACCAUAGCCAAAUGAACACACAAAGGAUCAUGCAUUUGACUAUUUAAUAAGUAUCCGUGUGUUAUAUGUUAGCUUGUCCACCUAGUUUGGCACUUUCCUUUUUUCUUAAAGAAAGAAAACCGAUCUAGGUUACCAAAUCAUGAAAUUUACAUAAAAAGAUAACAGAACAGCGAUGAUGAUAAUGGUUGGCAAUGAACCUUAUUUAGCAAACAUUUCAAUAACUAAAGCAUAGAUAGAUAAAAGCUGUUGUGUUGGUGGGGGUAGAUUUCUAUCAAAUGAAAAGCAUGGAAAGAUUUUACCAAAGCUAAGAUUAACCUUUCUGGUCCAUCAUAUUGAUCCAUAUGCAUGUCUGAUAUAAAUAAUUAAUAAAUAGUAUAAUAUAAUGUAAGGAAAAUAUUGAUUAAUUCCAAUGGCUGUUAUUCUCGUUAAAUUUAAAAACCUUAAGUUAUGUUAUUUAUUUUUGUUGAGAAACUUAAAUAGAGUAAGAUUUGAGAUCUGAUAGGACCUCCAUAUGAUUUGUUUCGAGACAGUGGAUCACAUAUAUCAUGCUUUUGCUUACAUUGCUAAGGUGAUUUGUUCAAGACAACAAGUUUUAGAUGUUCUGUAAAAGUAGGUACGUGUUGAUGCUGGCAUAUUAUCGUUAUAUUACCUGACUCCAAAAUAAUCCAUUUCAAAGUCCACUUUUAAUUAGUUGUAAACAGUAGUGUCUUGAGGAGACAAGCUUGCAUGUCAACAUCAAAGAGAAGCUAUAUUACAUUCAUUAGUUUACCUGAGUAUAGAACCAAUCAACAGUCCUGCGCAACUGACCAACCUGCAAGAUUGCACCAUAAAACAUGUAGAAGUAUGUCAUAACAAAAAACAUUAAGUGAACAUAAAAACUUACAUAUACGAUUAUGAAUUUUUUUUCUAAGAAAGAAAAAAUGGAAUCAUAAUUUCGUAUGAAGAUCAUAACAUCAGCUUGAGAAUAUACAUAAAAUUAAUCUGUAGCAGUGAAUGGAGUUUAUGUUUGAUUUGUAGCUUCCAAGAGCACUUCCCUUUUCAAAAUUCAAUACAGCCUCAAAAAUUCCCUUCAACUAAAUUAUUUUCGACCCAGAUACACCAACUAUCAGAGACAAAGGAAAGUUCCACACUAUCAGACACAGGCAUUGCAUGUGACCUCCAAGAUUUUGAACAAAUUCUGGAUAAAAACUCAUAAAAUUCUAACAAAAAAAGUCAGUAAACAUAUUUACAUAAACUAAAGUCUGUCUUAAAAGCCAAAAAUUUAGAAUUCAUACUCUUUAGAGACUUUCAAAAAUAAAAGGGUUAGAAAAGGUAGUAUAAUAAUCAGCUUUAAAUGAAGAAUAGAGGAAAAAGAAAAAAUAGUCUGCUUGCCCUUGUUCUCUAAAUUGAUAACAUCUGUGCAUUCUCAAAUCAAAUAGAGGUGCGUGCGCGUCAUUUUCCCCCCUAAAAUCUUAAAAACACCAGGAUGUUUCUUUUAACUAGACAAUAAUAAAGAAGGAACCGCAAUCAAGAAUUUAAACAAAUUAAAGAUUGAUGCUUCAAUCUCGAAUCCUUGAAUUUGAUUAGGAAGAACAAAAUUUUUAAAAUUGAAGGCCAAUUCAUUGCCGGGUUUUCUGAAAAAUCAAAAGAAAGUCCCUAUUGAAAACAAUCAUAUAGUAAAAUAAUAUAAAGAACUCAAACAAGCACCUGAAUUCUCAUUACCUUCGUGAAAUUUGAUUAAAAAAAUGCAAUAUUUGACAAAUAAUAGUCCAAAAUACUUAAAAAAGAAACCCAUCCAACCUAAAAUUCGGCUCAAUCCGUGGAACAGUCAGCCGAGAAAUCAAGAGGACAUCAUUUCAACCGAAAUUGGGAAAAAAGACUUCUGGAUUUUCAAGAAAAACAGUUAAAAAACAACUAAAAGGCAAACCCACUGAUACCAUUCGAUCCAAGAAGAUAGAAGGAGAAGAAGAUGAGGCGGGAGGGAAGGGUUACCGCGACGGUGGUGGCGGUGGCGCCGAUCAGACCGAAGAGGAGAAAGCCCCACGGCAACGAGCUGUAAUCUCUAUCUCGCGAUGGGUCGCGGUCUCUGCUCUUCCGAUCCGCGGGGAUCAUUUUUAUAGGCUUCGCGCGGCCCGAGCUCGAACUGAGAGACGGGACGAGGAGAAGGGCAUGACUCGAUCGCGCGGAAGGAAGGAACGGAUCCACUCGUCGGAACAACGAAUCGAAGCGAAAGAAAGGACGAGAGAGAGAGAAAGUGCGGUGUUCUUGAUAAUUUCCACAAAAGCGGGGAAGCGCACCGCGAGAGAAUCCGACCCGCAAGUUUCCUCUCUAUUAUUUUACAUAUUUAAAAAUAAUUAAUCGUUUGGCACGGGCAGUGCACGUGCGAAAGGGAUGAAAUUUUUUUUCUGUUUUAUAAGGUCCUCCCGUGUACAUACCCACCAUCAUGUAAUAUCUAGGAUGGCAACAUCGAUGUCUUUUAUAGCACCUAUUGUGGUUCAAAUUCGACCCGAAGGUGACCACGCCGGAGGAGUCGAAUGAGCUACACUAGUUAGGAUAGAGUAGGGACGCUGCUUCCUGCGCGUCGGCAGACCUGCACAAAGUCUCACCGGUAAGAUUCCGAUGAGAGUCCUCCCAUAAUUAAGUUGAAAUAGAUUUUAGGUAGAGCAGCCAAAAAAUCUUUAAGCGUUAUCUGAUGGGGCUAUUUAUAGUUCCCGCGAAAGUGCUCCCAUGUUAUGAGCAGGACGAUCCAUUUUGCCCCCCAUCAGCACCGUUCCACCAUAAUUGACUAUAAAAUAUGGCCGCACUAUUUUGAUCAUCUAUAUCUCGUUUUCUCUAUCACUACAUUUUGCUAAUAUAGCAAACUAUUUUUUAAAGGUGCAACAAGGAUAGAAAUCCUGCCCCCCUAUUUAGGGCCUAAUUGGAUCCUAAAAGAAUCAGGUUUAUUUGGCCCGCCCAUUCCGAAUCUUGUAAGGGCCUACCCAAGUCUCGAUCUAUAUCCAAGCUAGUGAGCAUGAAAAAGACACGUGGAGGUUUGUUUUCUUUCCUACGGGAUUUAAGUUGGAGACUCUUAGGUUGAUAUGGGCUACACUCAAAUAAACUUCCCAAUCAUAAUUUCAGUAAAAAAAUAUCCGAACAGGCCUUUAAGAGGAUUUACAGCCCAAAGUAUUUUCGUGAUAGAGAACUCUCUCAACUUUCGCAUGCAAGCAUGAGGAUGCUACCACUAAACUAAAGCUAUUUUAGCCUUUAUUUGAUAUCUUUGAAUCUCUCUCUAAGCUGGAAUGUUGCUAUAUAGUCAUCCAUUAGUAAAAAUCUCUUCUUUAAACAAAACUAUAAUUGACUCUGUUGUUGUCUGGGAGAGGGAGAGAGAUAAAAUGAGUGCAACAUCUGAGCGUUGGAAUUCAUUUGUUGGAUAAACUUACAUUCAUCCGUACUUCUUUGAAUAGAUCAUUUGUCUAGCACUGUCCAAAAAUACAUCUGAUAGUGGGAAUAUAUAUGAUGGAUACAAUACUACACUUAUCUAUUCUCAUCUCUCUUAAUUAUAACCUGUUUAGACACAUAGUAGAUGAGAUCAAAAAAAACAGAAAGAAAAUAAAAGAAAAAAAGAAUAAGGAAGAGAAGAGAACUUCAGAAAUGAGAUUAAAAAAGAAAGGAAGAGUGGGUUACGAGUUGGGGGAAAAACAGGUUAACUUUUGUCACAGUUUCUUUUUUAUUCUCUUCUUUAGCUAUCCAAACUAGAAAAUUUGAUUUUCUCUUUUCUUAUCUCCCAACCAAACUAGAGAUUCUUUUUCUCCUCUCACUCUCUUCUCUCCGAUUCUCUCAAUCAAAACAUAAAGAGUAGAAAUUCAAUUAAGAGAAAAAUAUUUACUAAAAGUAUAUAUGAGAAAUAGUUGGACAUCUUAGCCACUAGAAUACCUAUUGGGAGUUCGAUUAAUAUGAUUGCAAAGAUAUUUUAUUCUUAUGUAAUAUGUUUUUUCUCAUAUUUUUGUUUCUUCUCUAUUUCUUUAGAACUGGAAUGGGAGGAAGUCCGGGUGAGAUUGUGAUGAGGGCAAGAUUUGAAUAAGCUUCAUUAGUCUCAAACACCCAGUGACUUUACCUCCUAAGACAAUUGGUACUCUCUUUAUCUCUUCAUGAUCUAAUUUCUAUGGUUAUUAGGAUUCUCCAAAGAUUAUCUACAGAUUCUUUUGUUGGUAUCUUUUUAUUAGCUUAUCCAUCCACAAAAAGUAGCCAAAACCCUGAAUAAUGCUAAGAUCCCAAAAUUCCUAACCCGAGAUAAUCCUCCCUUAUAAACUUCCAAGUUAUUUUUAUUUCCAUAGGUCAUUUUAGUUUAAUUCCCAAAUCUGCUUGAAUUUAUAGGGAUCUACACAUCAGAUAUUAUGUUAUAAGGAUUUAAUUUAGCACUAGAUUUUAAACCCAAGGCAUUCUACGUCCUAUACUAAUUCAAAAUUCGACUAUGAAAAGUUCAAGCUUAGUCCCGUCAAAUUUUGAAUAGAAAUUCUAGAACACUACUUAUUUUGCUCGAAAACCCCCAUGUAUAUUUUUAAUUGAUCGUUAGGACUUCCAAUAUCCUUUAAAUACUAGAAUGUUCUUUCCAACUCUUAUCAAACUUUUGUACGCCAUUGCAUAGGAGCCUGUUUUAAACUUUACAAGGUCUUGACAAGCUUAAACACUAAGUUCUUGUCCCUUUAUAAUAAAUCUUUAAAUUAUUCUACAUAGAUCUCUUCUUCUAGACCUCCAUUUAGAAAUAUAAUCUACACAUUCCUCGUAAAUAAUUAGUUUAUGAAUGAAAACAAUAGCAAGAAGGAUUCUGAGCAUUGUGAUUCUGGAUAUAGGAGAAUAGAUGCCAUGGUAGUCUAUACCCUUCUUCUCGUUCUAACCUUAAGAUACUAACCUAGUCUUAUUCCUUUUUAUUGAUUCAUCAAGUCUAAUCUUCUUAUGAUAACCCGCUUACAACAUACCACAUUAUUAGCACUAGGCGGAUCAAUCAAUAUCCAGAUCUUGUUUUAGAGGAUCAAAUUGGAUUCAUAGUUGAUGGCUUCCUUCUAGAACAAAGCAUCAAGCAAGAACAUCGUCUCACAAAAGUAGAAGUUCAUUUUCUAUAAGGAAAGCAAAGAAGCCUUCACCAAAAUUUUUCUCUUUCCUAACCCUUGAGUUUUUUCUAAGUUCAGUGAGUCCACUAAUUACUUGAGACAUUUUCCUCAUUUUAGAUUCACAAGUAAAUUCAUGUCCUCUAAGAUUAGGGUUAUAGAAAGAAGGAUGACACUGAACCAAGAACUUGGUUUUUAAAGGAAAAGAAAUUCUCAAAGUAAGUUGCAUCUCUAGCUUCGAUAAGGAUAUUUUUUGACAUGUUACUAAUCUCUAAGUUUAUUACUAAAUAUCUAUUGGUAUUACUAAUUAAGGAAUGUCCUACAAAAUAACACCUACAACUUUAUUUUUUUUAUUUUUAAGAUUUAGGUAUUCCUAUCUUAGCCAGACACCUCCCAUAAUUUAUAGUAAUUAGCCUUGAGGCUCCAUCCUUUUAAAGCUCAAACAUUGUCUCAAUACUAUUCUUAAAAUUUAUACUAUCCUUAUAAAGUUGCAUAGCACAAUAAAGCAAUAAUUUUAUCAAUUGCACUAGUUGGCACCCACAACAUAUUGUUUGUACUUGCUCCAACCAAUCCAAGGAGUAAUUCAAAUUGAUGGCGUCCUAGCACAUCUUGGAGUAGCAACAGCCAGUUGAAUCUUUAAAGCCUUGAAUAUUGUGUUUUAGUUUCUAGUUUUGUCUGUUAGGUUGCAUUAGAUGAUUCUAGUUCUCUGUUGCAAAAUGGUCAGGCUAGACGGUAGUAGUUAGAUACCAGUGGAAUAGCAAAUUCUUUUUCUGGCACAUAAGCAGUGGAAAAAUGUAAAAGUUUAUGCAGGUGUAUUUAAUCACACAUCAAUUAUACUUUAGGAAGAACUUAGAUACUUAUAUAAAGGCAAUAAACUCAAAUAAUACCUUCUUACUAGUCUUUUUAGGUAAAAUCCUAUGUUGUUACAUAUGGUAUCAGAGAAGAUUGGACUUAUGGCCUAUAUAAACUAAGGGACACUAUGGACUCUUUUAAAGCUGACCACAGAUUAAUCAUGAUAUUUAUAAUUGAAUUUAAUUAGAUUUAGACUUUUAGUCUCGCGAGAAUGCCAGUACUUAAACAGAGAAAAUAUAUAAGAAUUCAUGCAUGAGUGUAUUUAGUCUGACAUCUGUUGUGUGUUGAGAAAAACUUGAAUAUUUUUAGAAGAUCAAUGAAUCUAAAUAAUAUCUUCUAUUUAGUUCUUUUGAAAGGUUGAUAUAGAAGUUGACAUUGAAGGUCCAAAUGAAGUUGAUCACAAAGAAUGCUCGAGAGAUAUGGAAAAUGAGUUUUUCUUUGCUAUGCUUAUAACACUCUAGAAGGUUAUCAAAGUGAAGCGACUUGACUAGGUAAUGCCUGUGGUUGACUAUUUGAGGCUCUUAUCUCUCUCUCUCUCUCACUCACUCACACUCACAUACAUCCAUAUAUAAAUAAUUAUGCAAAAAAUUCUAAACUAUUUGAGGCUUAUCAAUUUUUUUCUAAACUUUAUUUGAGUACAAUCAAGCCAUCGAACUUUUAGAUUUGUUCAGUUCGAACCUAGGCUAUGAAUUUCAUCUAGCUAUUAUGACGAAAUUGUUACAUAAUGUCAUAUGAGGCGCCAUCCUCUUCCGUCGUAUAAGUUGGUCAUAUACUCAUAUGACAUCACGUUGAUAAUUCCAUUACGAUAGCCAAACUAGUUUAGGAGGAAAUUGAUAAACUCCAACUAGGUCGGAAUUUUUUGGAUGAUUAUUUCUUAUGUAUGUAUGUAUGUAUUUUUCUAUAUAUUGUUGAGUUGAUGUAAUUAAUGCCUAUAGGUUAUUUUGCUAAAAAAAUGCCUUUAUAUUUUUUGAGAGGAAUUAUAUAAGAAAAAGUUAUGUCGGUGUUGAUUAUAUUUCUUUUUCUGGGAUAAAUAUCUGGGCAUCGAAGGCAGAUUUGAUUGAUCAGAAUGGAAAAAGAUGAGAUGCAUUCUAGAUAUACCUAAUCUGCCCAUUAGAUGCAGUAAAAGUGGAUAAGAAGAUUUGAGUUCUGCCGUUUGCCUCAAAUGGAAUGGUUGAAUGUGUACGUCAUCCAAUAUGAAGGUCAAAGCAGAUGAGUCGUGAAACUAAUACUGUUUUCAAGAAAUCAAGAAGCUGCAAGCAAAAAAAUUGUUAAAGAAAUGAAGAGUCCUGAGAUUCCGGUGGCUUUCUUAGGGGCAGGGAGCGUUGGAUUCGGGUUCGGUUAGCAGGGGAAAUGGGCUGGACCGGGAUAGAUCGGUGGACGGGUUACGUCAAAUUACACCCCCCUGAAGCCUACUUAUAUACAUCACGGGCCUCAUCAAAUGUCACCUUGGGCCUUCAGAAUGGGAACUCUUGUAAGUUUCUUAUUCCAUCUCGGCCCUUUCCCCUCAGGAGUUUUGUUUUAUUUUUUCUCCAUGCUACAAAGUAUUACUUUGGAGGCACCAUCAAUCAUUUCAGAAAAAAAUAAAUGAGAAUUAUUAGAUCAUGAUUAGGUCGUAGUCAGCCUAGUGCAGCCUUGCUGCAGUAUCUCUCUGUAAACACUGAAUCAUAUGCUGGGUUUAUUUUGAUACCAUUUACGAUAACCUAGGAUCUCAAACCAAAAGGAUUAGUUAGAGAUAUUGCUUGGAUUCUUUAGUAUCCAAGAUCGUUCCAAUGCAUAGCUGAUAUGAGACUAAUUACACAUCCAUACAGAUCCUCACAAAGCUCUAUCUAAAAUCUCGGCUCAUUAGGAAGCCGAGCCAGAACACUGCACACUCUCAAAAACCAAGGGAAGCUUGGCUAGGCUUUGUGCUUAUAUAAACCAGCUGAGUUUGAGCCGAGUGCAAGGUCUGCUCAUGGAGCUGAGCCCAAGCAGCCUAAAACUUGGCCCCUUUCACCCAUAUGUGGAACACUGCCAAGGUUUGAGCGAUGGAAGAUGGAACCAUUAUGUGACCGCUGAGCCAUAGCUUAUAGUUUCUGCUAACUGGACCUGAGGGUUACAUAAACUUUUAAUAGGUUCGCCCACCCCGUGACCCACAGAUCUAAAAGACAUACCAGAAACCAGACCUCCUAGUGCUGGAUCCUUUUUGGGCGUGUAAGAUCCCGUUUUAUUUGGGCUUGGCCCAGCCUGCUACGGCCUUGUCGGGUAAGAAUGGGCCACUUGGGCCGCUUAGUAAGGGCCAGCACGUGAGAUAGGGGAGGAAGACUUCCAAAAGAAGUUCAGCAAGGAAAGAGAGAUUCAAGGGCACACCGGACUCCGGCAAUGCCAAAGAUUUCAUCUAUAAAUGGUUCUCCUCGCUUCCCUCUAACUAUCUUGCUCCCAAACCUCGAUCAACCGCCAGUGAUUUGCACCGAGUUUUCCAAUUUCUAAUAAGACUUCUCGCUAAGCUGGCCUCAAAACCUCGUUAGAAAUUUAGGUGAUGAACCCCUAAACCCACUUCUACCUCCUUCACUAUCCUAAGGUUGCUAUUGACUGACUGCCGGUUUUGGUCGAACAAAGCCUUCCCAUGUUCCGACUUUUUCCCUUUUUUUUUCCUUUUUUCUUGUUCUUCCCAUCCGACUGACCACUGCCACUGUGGAUAUUGCCGCAGCAGCCGCCAUGGGUGUGGCUGGCCUUAGAGCCCUUUACUUCCUCUCUUUUGAGACAAGAACCAUGGUUCUCUCUCUCUUCUUCUUGCUUUCUCUUUUGUCAUCUCUCUCGUGCUCUCUCUGCUCUUUCUCUCUAUUUGUUACUUUCUCUCUUUCUCUCUCUCUCUACAUGCUUUAAUGGGCUCAAAAAGGAAAGGACCCAAUACCUUAUGGACCGGUUGAUCUUUGGAGGGGUCCUAAGCUAGCAUUAUGCAACUAGGGGCUCCAAGUUGGUAUCGUGUAAUCAGGAGUCUAAAGUCCGCAUCAUACAACCCUAAGAGGGGAUUUUGGGCUAACCUUGUUAUGAUCAUCUGCCAUAAUCCAUGGAUGGAUAUGAAUAUUCUGAGACGAUAUCUGGUUAUGUAGGUGUGCAAUCGUUUGGGCAAGAAGAUAUUGAAAAACGUACUUUGCCCCAGCGUUCAAAGAUCGAGGAGUGGAUCGGUGCUCGCGGUACCUAAGUCUGAGACGGGUAGAAAUAAGAAUUUUUACAUAAUCACCUCAUUAGAUAAUAGUAUUUUAUAAUACAUAUCAAUGAUUUUGGAUUUUGCAUCAUUUGUCACAUGAUUGCUAAUUGAUUUCUUAUAUAAAUAUAUAAAUACAUAUUUCUUAUUGUAAUAAUGUAUCAAAUAUCGGUGAUUAUGGUUGCUUGGAAUAUAUUUUUGGUUGUUUGGAAUAUAAUGAUAGUAAUUUUAGAAUUUUGCAAGAAAUAUAAUAAAGAAUUAUAUGUUCUUUGAUAUGGAUGAAAUUGAAUAACUUGAUUGUUGGAUGAAAGAAUUUGGACUAGACAUGUUAUGGAUUGCCAGUCAUGAGUUGAAUCGUCGUACACUGGUUUGUCAUCAUAAGCCGAAACGUGGAUAUUUUGGUUUGCUACUACAGACUAAAGUGCGAAUAUUAUUAUUUGUUACUACCAGUCAAAGUGUAGGAUUAUGGUUUGCUUAUCAUAGAUCGAAGCGUGACCGUAGGUAGUCCAAAUUAGAAAAAUAAUUAUUGAUCAGAAAUCUAAAUAGUAACAUAAGAUAAGACAUAUAAAACCUUUAUUAAAGAAAAGAUUUGGAUUGAUGAUAUAUCUAAUAUGUUUACUUGAAUAAGAUGUAAUUUGAUGCGUACAUUUAGUGUACAUAUUUAUAUGGAUUUAUUUAAGCUAUGUUAAAUAGUCGGUAUGAGAUAUUAUAGUUUUACCUACAUUAUGAUAUGGUUUAUAACUAAUCUCUAUUUUAAAUUUACUUUAUCUAUAUUGGUGUGAGUGUGGGAAUUCUUACUGGGCUGUAAAGCUUCUACCACCUUUUUUUUUUCUUUUCAAAGUUGCAAUAUGCUUAGUCUCAGAUAGGUCAAGCGUAGAGUUCGAGCGUUGAAGUUAUUAGUUAAAUAGUUGAUUUUUUGAUACUAGAUGAAUAUUUAAAUUUUUGUAAUAGAAUAAACUCUUUUAAUGAUGGAUUUAUUAGUUAAACUAUUAUGGUUAAAAUUUAAUGAUUAAUUUAAUUAUUUUGGUCCUACUAAAAACUUUUUUCGUUUUAUAGAUCUUGCAUUAUGUUUAGGGCUUUGCCCUAGGAUUUAUACGGCGGCAGCUGAUCUGGGUGAUGGGUAUGGGGCAUGAACGGGUUAUCGGGCUAAAGUUGAGAUGGUGCCAAAAGAGAGAUUGAGAGCCUAGAUUCACGUAAAAAGUUUUCAGAUCCAAAACUCUGGUCAAAAAAUAAUUUCAGUGCGUUCAAGCAGGACGGCAGUUUUAAAUAAGUAAUAAACUCCACUCGCUUGCUCUUCUUACAAUGCAAGUAGAUUGGUGAUUUGGACAGUUAGACUCAUAUGAAAUUAAUUGAAAAAAAUAAUAAAUCUAAAUUUAUAAAGUUCCAGAAACUAAAACGUAUACGUAAAAGUAUAUGAUGCUCCGAAAUUUAUAGCAAUAAUUACAUAAAGUUGGUAUCUCCUCUUUUUUUCAAAAAAUGAAGUUAGUACACAUGAUAUACAUGCAAAGAUAAAUAAUCCUAAGGGAUAGCUUUGGAAAGCUAAAUGGUUAGACUACAAAUCCAUCCGGAAUCUAGGCUGUGUUUUCAAGUUGGACAUUAGAUCAAAGUUAGUGGUCCAAGACCUGGAAUCUAAAUGUUCCAUUCCAAACAGUGAUCCUUGGGUCAGAUGGCUGAUCUUGAAGCAGUAAAUGGGUGGGUUGGUGGACCAGCCUCGUACCAUUAUUUGGUGAAGGGAGUUGGUCCUCGUGGUACUCGUGGUGGUUGUGAAAGUUGAUCAAAUCUUCCUUUACAUAUCCAGAAUCAUCUUGCUUAACUUUUACUCCUUGCCUCCUUCUUUGUCACUUCCUAUUGCAUCAGGUUAAUAGUUUGCUUAAUAGUAAUGAUAAUGAUAAUAUUAUUGUUAAUAGUGUUAAUAGUGUCCUUCUCUCCAUCUCCCUGUCUACUUGUCUUGACAUGAUGAAUUCGUUAGCACGAAAUGCAAGGAUACCGAUCAACCAACCAUAACAAUCGAUCGAAUUAAUCCAAAAUAUUCGGCAAACUAUCUUUAUCUAUGUAUACUGCCUUUGACAGCUGAUCAAUCAGAGCCACAUCAACUGCUUCUUCUUGGAAGAGAAUCAUUAACAAAAAAAAAGAGCAUAGCAAGUGUUUCCUCUGACAAGUGCUUAAUUAAUAUAAUCCUCGAUCGAUAUGUGGAAGGAGACUGCUAAUAGGUGCGUGUUAGCUGCGACGAAAGCUAAUCAUACUUUACUCCUUAGUGACUGUCUCUGUCAUGCAAUAGAUUACAUGAUGCUUAGAGAUUACAUGAAUAGUAAAACAAGGAAAUGUUGGUGGCUUGGGUUUUGUCAUGGUUUUGGGGUGCCCCAUGGCCAAGGUGCCUCAGUUGAUGUUGUGAUUUAUUUAGGGUAGUAGGGUUGACGGCAUGUGCCAUCAAGUUGUGAAAUCUUGACCUUUUGCAUGGGGCGCUUUCUCCCAAAGACCCAGCUAGGUUUGGGAUAUUCUCACAACUUUACAGUCAUAAUCAUGGUGUUUGUAUAUUAAUUACUGUCAUCAAUCAUGGAAUUUAGGUGCUGGUUCAGUAUUUUAAAUGGAAUUUCAUGGCGAAGGUGUCUUUGUAGAGUUGGAAGGAAGCUAGGAGGACUCGGGUGGUUGUCCUGAUAUGAGCAUCUAGACAUGAGACUCAUGUCAGGGAUGACUAAAAUGGUGCACGUAGAACUAAAGCAACUUCUGAUCUAUUUUCUGGCAAUAAUAGAGAGUGCUAGAUGCGAGUUUGAUAGGAGUUUUCAGAAGUACAAAAUUUUGGUUUGUCAUAAAGCUAGACAUUGAUAUGUUACAAAAGUAUCAAGCUGAUGUGAUUAAAAUGUAGUUAAAGACACUCAUACAUGAUCAGCAUUAUAACAAAGCAUUAACAUAAUCAGUACCAACUUUAAUGAGGAGUAACAUGGAUAAAUUAGUUACUUGAGAUACUUGUACACAUCUAAAUGGAUGGAUGUUAAAGUGCUUAUAUGACUUUAUGAAGGCAUUGAAUUCAUCGAACAAAAACAUUUUCUAGGGUUACCAACUACACGUUAGCUGCACUGAGUCUAGCAUGGCGACAUGCUGUUG